ACUAUUUUGACAGAUUAAUGUAAUGAAUUUAGAAUUCAUUUAUGUAGGUUAUUCCUACAAAUAGUA
rnacentral:tRNA from 1 species